AUUCAUCUCCCAGUGUCUGGUGGAAAGCAGACUGAAACAGAUUUUCCUCCAGGAUUUUGCUUGUGCUUAGCUCCAUUCCGUUCAUUUUUUUUAUCCUGAAAAACUCCCCAGUCUUUAACGAUUACAAGCAUACCCAUAACAUGAUGCAGCCACCGCUAUGCUUGAAAAUAUGGAGAGUGGUACACAGUAAUGUAUUGGAUUUGCCCCAAACAUAACGCUUUGUAUUCAGGACAAAAAGUGAACUGCUUUGCCACAUGGUUUGUACUUUUAUUUUAGUGCUUUGUUACAAACAGGAUGCAUGUUUAGGAAUAUUUGUAUUCUGUACAGGCUUCCUUCUUUUCACUCUGUUAAUUAGGUUAGUAUUGUGGAGUAACUACAAUGUUGUUGAUCCAUCCUCAGUUUUCUCCUAUCACAGCCAUUAAACUUUGUAACUGUUUUAAAGUCACUAUUGACCUCAUGGUGAAAUCCCUGAGCGGUUUCCUUGCUCUCCGGCAACUGAGUUAGGAAGGACACCUGUAUCCUUGUAGUGACUGGGUGUAUUGAUACACCAUCCAAACUUUCAUUAUUAACUUCACCAUGCUCAAGGGAUAUUCAAUCUCUGCUUUUGAUUUUGUUUUUUACCCAUCUACCAAUAGGUGCCCUUCUUUGGGAGGCGUUUGAAAACCUUCCUGGUCUUUGUGGUUGAAUCUGUGUUUGAAAUUCACUGCUAGACAGAUAAUUAUAUGUGUGGGGUUCAGAGAUGAGGUAGUCAUUCUAAAAUCAUGUUAAACAGUAGUAUUGCACACAGAGUGAGUUCAUGCUUAUUAUGUGACUGGUUGAGCACAUUUUUAUUCCUGAACUUAUUUAGGCUUGCCAUAACAAAGGGGUUGAAUACAUAAUGACUCAAGACAUUUUAGCUUUUCAUUUGUAAAAAAUCGAAAAACAUAAUUUCACUUUGACAUGGGAUGUUGUGUGUAGGCCAAUCUGAAGUUAAGUCAAUACUUGCUUUGAACAAAUAUUACAAAUAAAUAUUUAAAAAAGGUAUUUUCCUACCCUUUAAUUCUGCAAUGUUGCCCUGAGUCAACAAAUUACAUUUUAGGCUGGGGGUACAAAAGAUUAUGAUUGGAUUAUCAUUUGUAAGCCCCAAACCUCAAAAAACAAGAGCUAAAAAAAUGUUUUGGAUGAAAAACAAAAAGGCCUGCAGUAUAUGGUACUGUAGUGUUUAUAGCUUAAUGUGAUUAUUUCAAUAAUGUCAGCAGUUUGUUAGGAAGUGUGCAAUUGCAUUUCUGUUAGUACAUAUAUACAUGGUACACUCUUAGGAAAAAAAGUUAUAUCUAGAAUCUAAAAGGGUUCUUUGGCUGUCCCCAUAGGAGAACACUUUGAAGAACCCUUUUUGGUUUCAGGUAGAACCAUUUCCUCAGAGGGUUCCAUGUAGAGCCCUUUCCACAGAGGUUUCUACCUGGAACCAAAAAGGGUUCUCCUAUGGAGACAGCCAAAGAACCCUUUUGGAACCCUUUUUUCUAAGCGUGUAUGUACUACCACCACUUAUAGGUAACUGCCAAAAUAAUGGAAACACUUGAGUAAAUGAGGAAUACAAAGUAUUUUGAAAGCAGGUGCUUUCACACAGGUGUGGUUCCUGAGUUAAUUAAGCAAUUAAUAUCCCAUCACGCUUAGGGUCAUGUAUUAAAAUACUGAGCAGGCCAUUAUUUUGGCUACCAUGGCUAUGCCCCCAUAGGAUGACAAUGGACAUUAGUAGUCACUGAAUGGUUUGAUGAGCAUGAAAAUUAUGUAAACCAUAUGCCAAGCUGUCUCAGUCACCAGAUCUCAACCCAAUUGAACACUUAUGGGAGAUUAUGAAGCGGCACAUGAGACAGCAUUUUACACCACCAUCAAUAAAACACCAAAUUAUAUUUAUUGUGGAAGAAUGGUGUUGCAUCCCUCCAAUAGAGUUCUAGACACUUAUAGAAUCUAUUCCAAGAUGCAUUUAAACUGUUCUGGCUCGUGGUGGCCCAAAGCCCUAUUAAGACACUUUAUGUUGGUUUUUCCUUUAUUUUGGCAGUUACCUGUACAUCAAUUUGAAUUUAUUCAUUUCUGAUUGUCUGCAGAAUGAGAAGUCCUCAACUUUCACCAGCUAUGUCUUAAUCUCAACAGCCUGGGUGAAUUACUUCAUAGCUUGGGAAUCAAAGGAAUUUCAAAAAUGAUUGUUCCGAGAGAACGGGUCUGGAUACCAGAUAUAGGUAUCCAAGAAGAAACAACGACGAGACAGCCUACAGGGAGGAGGUGAGAGCCCUGGUGGAGCGGUACAAGGAACAUUAAACUCUCCCUCAACAAAACGAAGGAGCUGAUCGUGGAGAUGGCCGAGAGAGAUCGCACCCAUCCACAUGGAUGGGGCCGCAGUAGGGCGGAUGAAAAGCUUCAAGUUCUUCAGCGUGGAUAUCACUGAGGACCUGAAAUGGUCCCUCCACACCGACACUGUGGUGAAGAAGGCGCAACAGUGCCUCUUCAACCUCAUGAGGCUGAAGAAAUUCAGCUUGUCCCCUAAGACCCUUAAGAACUUCUACAGAUGCACCAUUGAGAGCAUUCUGUCGGGCUGUAUCACUGCCUGGUAUGGCAACUUCACCACCCACAACCGCAGGGCUCUCCAGAGGGUGGUGUGGUCAGCCCAACACUUCACUGAGGGCACACUGCCUACCCUCCAGGACAUCUACAACACCUGGUGUCAUAGGAAGGUCAAGAGGAUAAUCAAGGACCUCAGCCACCCGAGCCACAACCUAGUCAUCCGCUACCAUCUAGCAGGCGGAGACAGUACAGGUGCAUCAAAGUUGGGACCGAGAGACUAAAAAACAACUUCUUUCUCCAGGCCAUCAGACUACUAAACAGUUAUCACUAGACGGCCUCCGCCCAGUACCUUGCCAUGCACCUAGCCGGCUACCACAGGGUACUCUACCCUGCACCUUAGAGACUGCUUCCCUAAGUACAUAGUCAUUGAACACUGGUCACUUAAAUUAUGUUUCAUAAUGUGUAUUGGUCAAAAAUUGUUUGUGGUUAGAAACAGAUAAGAUUAACAUUCCUGCAACAUUAUUUUGUUAACUUAAUUUCUCAGAUAAAAUUAACUCGCUUUAUAAGUACUGUAUUAUCAACAUAGCUCAUCCAUUCAACUACUGCUGUACAUACAUUUUCCCUACAUAUAUUGUUCAUACUGUCUACACACCAGGUCUUUAUAUUCCAGACUCUGACAUUGCCCUUUUCGAUAUUGCUCGAUCUGAUAUCUUAAUUUCUUGUUUCUUUUUGUGUAUUAGUUUUGUCCUGCUAGAUAUUUACUGCAUUGCUGGAGCUAGAAACACAAGCAUCUUGCAGCACUUGCUUUAACGUACUGUUCUGGAGACGCAGGUGCAGUUGGGAGUUUGAUAUAAACGAACAUGGCGUGAUACAAAACAAGCAAAGGGUCUGACAUGAAAACAGAAACAAUACUGCCUGGUAAGAAAAACUACAGAGUGACAGAUAUAGGGGAAGUAAUCAGGCUAGUGAUAAAGUCCAGGUGUGCCUAAUGAUGGGGCGCAGGUGUGCAUAAUAAUGGUUGUCAGGUGUGCAUAAUGAUGGGUUGCCAGGACCGGUGGUUAGUAAACUGGCAGCGUCGAGCGCCGGAGCGGGAGUAGACGUUACACGACCGCUAAUCUGUGUACGGGACAAAUACACUUUGGUUGGAUUAUAUGUAGUUGAUUGUCAACCAUAGAAACCAUGAUGAUAUACUGAUAAAAUGUAUCAUUCACCUAGCCUUUGUAGGGAACAAACAAUGAGCAUUGGAGCUGAAUACGAAAACCCUAUGUCUCUGUGUGUUUAAUGUGCUGUUUCAGGGGAACAAUACAAAGCUGCUUUUAUGAAAAAUCUGUUUGGUGUCCUUUGAAACCGGAUCUCAGUCUGGAACAGGAUGAACAACAUUUUUUGCCUUCGCACUGUCCCACUGAACUAUAUUUCUGAACUUGACUUGACCAAUUUCCCCAUUAGAUGUUUUAUAUAAUGUUGUAACUUUGUAAAUCUUUUAAUUUUGGGUCCUUCAAAGUAGCUGAAGAGGUCCAUCAGCCACUCCUUGGGCUACAAUACCUAUUUUGCCAAUUGGCCUGGACCCCUUUUACUGCCGAUAUGGAGUCCCGCCGAUCCCUCACGACUGGUCUACCGACAUAAUCCGCCCGAGGGGGUUUUCAACAAGCUCCUCCAUCGUGACGUCCCCUGAAUGCCCAUCUGCUAGCCGCGGCCCGCUAGCUGUUCAGAGCAUAUCGGACUGUUAGCUGAAGAGGUCCAUCAGCCAAUUUUCUUGGGCUACAAUACCUAUUUUGCCAAUUGGCCUGGACCCUUUUACUACACGGAGCCCUGCCGAUCCAUCACGACUGGUCUGCCGACGUAACCGCCCGAGGGGACUACAACUGACUCUUCCGUCGCGAUGUCCCCCUAAGGCCCUUCUGCUAGCCCCGGCUAGCUGUCUGAAUCGCCGUGUCUCCAGCCCGCCUAGCUACUCCCUAGACUCCAUGAUCACUCGGCUACGCAUACCUCUCCCUAAUGUCAAUAUGCCUUGUCCAUCACUGUUUUGGUUAGUGAUUAUUGUUUUGUUUCACUGUAGAGCCUCCAGCCCU